UUUUUUUUUUUUUUUGGAGGAAGAUUAGCCCUCAGCUAACUACUGCCAGUCCUCCUCUUUUUGCUGAGGAAGCCUGGCUCUGAGCUCACAUCCGUGCCCAUCUUCCUCUAGUUUAUACGUGGGACGCCUACCACAGCAUGGCUGCCAAACAGUGCCAUGUCCGCACCCAGGAUCCGAACCAGCGAACCCCGGGCCGCCGAGAAGCGGAACGUGCGGACUUAACCGCUGCGCCACCGGGCCGGCCCCUAGGCCUUGAGGAUUCAGUGAUGAACGAGGCCAUUUGAGGACACAGAGAGAAAAUAGCUAUCUACAAGCCAGGAAGAGAGCCUUCACCAGAAACAACCCUGAUAGCGUCUUCAUUUCGGACUUCUGGCCUCCAGAACUACGAGAAAAUGCACUUCUGUUGUUUAAGCAACCCGGACUGUGGUAUUUUGCUGUGGCAGCCCUAGGAGACACAUGCAUCCAACUCCCACACAAAGACCCACAUACAAGGAGGAGAGGGUUUUAUCUGAACAAAAAUAAGAUCAUGUUAAGCCCACAUUACUCUGAAAGUAGCCUAUCUUAUUGACACUACUUAAUGGCCGCCUGGCUCCUGGCUCAUGCUAUAUCCCACUCCAUUAGGACAUCCUGCAGGCCCCCACCCACAACCCCUUAAAAUGUCUCCAGAAUCCAAUCCCUUCUCCCCACCUCACUGUUUCCACCUUGGCGUAAGCUCCAGCCUCUCUCUCGCUGCAGCAGCCUCUUCACUCUUCUCUGCUUCCAUUCUUCCCUCCUUCAGUCUGUUCUCCUCACAGAAGCCAGAAGGAUCCUUUAAAAGUUGAAAUUAGGUCACGCUGCUCCUCAGCUCAAAACCCUCCAGUGGCUUCCCAUCCUAUGCAGAGUAAAGACCAAAGUCCUCACCAGGGGCUACAAGGCCCUACAUAGUCUGCACCAUAUGCACACGCAUGCACACACAUGCACACACACACACACCCAACUCUACUGCUCCCCUCUCUGAUCUCAGCUCUUACCCCUGUCCCCGACCACCCUGGCCUCCUUGAUGUUUCUAUAUCCCACCUAGCACACUCCCAAACCAGGGGCUUUGCACCUGCUGUUUCCUCGGUCUCGACUGCCUUUCCUCCUCUUAGCCACAAAGUUCCUUCCCUCAUUUCCUUCUAGACUCUGUCUCCCAAGCCACCUUUAUUCUUCUUCCUGGCACUUACCACCAUCUGGCAUUCUACGUAUUUAUUUGUGUAGAAUAUUUAUUUAUUCUACAUAUUUAUUUAUUUAUGGUCUUUCUCCAUCAAGAUGAGAAUUUCAGGAGCAACAAACCUGUCUUGUUCCCUGCUAAAUCCCUAGUACUUAGAACAGUGCCAGGUUCAUGGUUGAUGCUCAGUAAAUGUUUAAGGAAUGAAAGAAUGAAUAAAUCUCUCCAAGUCAGUAGAUAUAACAACCUUUCAACUGUUGCAUGCAUUUGCUAAUGCGGAUGGAUCAGAUUCAUUUAACCAUCCUCCUAUUAAUCAUGUUUAAGUUAUUUCCAUUUCUUUCUACUUUAAAAAAUGUUUGUGAUAAACAUUUUUGCACGCUCUAGUAUAG
rnacentral:lncRNA from 1 species